rnacentral:rRNA from 1 species
CUUAGAUAUUUUAAAUACAAAAAAUAUUCGCCAGAGAAUUACGAGCUAAACAUGCUUAAAACUCUAAGGACUUGGCGGUACCUCAAACCCACCUAGAGGAGCCUGUUCUAUAAUCGACAACCCACGAUUCACCUCACCAUCUCUUGCCAACUCCGCCUAUAUACCGCCGUCAAGCUUACCUUAUGAAAGAUAAAAAGUAAGCAAAAUAAUACAAACAAUUAAUAAAUCAGGUCAAGGUGUAGCUUACUGAGAUGGAAGAAAUGGGCUACAUUUUCUAUACUAGAAAUAAUAUACGGAAAGAUACCCUGAAAUAGGUUCUACAAGUAGGAUUUAGCAGUAAACUGGGAAAAGAGAGCCCAA